UUUAUGUAUAGACAAAAGCUUUUUAAAAAAAUGUGAUUCAAGAGUAGGUGACAAAAUUUUAUAAUUUUAUAAUUGCCAACUUCAUCAAAUACUUUUUGGCCCAGACCAAUUGAAAACCAUUGUCAAGACCACAAAUUAUCGAAAGACCAAGAUUAAGAUUUAAAACAACAAUUUGGUAGGAUAAGGACAACCAAUGAAGACAUUUAGACACAGAAUAAACGGAAGCAAAAUAGAAACACUUAUAAAUCUUUUACCACUACAAAUAAUAUUUUAAGGAAUGAAAAGAUAUUUAAACUGCCACUGCCAAAGUAAAUUUGGCAGAUUAUUCCAAAAUAUGUUCUUUGUAUGCUCGAAAUCAAUGGGAUCCCAAUUCAAAAUAUGGUAACAAACUUACAGUGGAACAAGGUGAGAACAAUACGAAAAUGUGAUUAAAAGAGGACAAAAAAGAGGACGUUUCUAUUUCAAAGCCAAUGUAACAUCAAACAAAAAAUGUAUGAUCUUUGAUCAAUCUUGAAAAAUAUGCAGGAACAAAAACAGCUUGUUAAGAAACAAAUAUUGUUAUCCUUCUAUAGAUACUUGUAUGUUAUGUCAUAAUUUCAUGCAUACAAUAAGAGUGAACAGGAUCUAAGGAAAAGAAAGGCCAUAAACGUGCAAGAGUAACUCCAUGUAGCCUGCUCAGAACAAGCAAGGACUAUCCUUACAGUCUAUAACUCAACCUCUACUGAAAUUUACAUUUGCAUUUUUCUUUGCACUUCUUUCAAAUUUGGAUGCAUAGAAUUACAGUAUUCAGUGCUUCAAUGGUUUCACUUUUUUCACUUUUACCACUACUUAAGAGAAAACAAAACGCACACUAUUUUAUUUUGUAGAAUGCAUUAAAAUGUAUUCUAAAACUUGUCCAGACUCCUCACCAGAAUAGAUUUCAAAUUCUCAGUGUCUGGACAUUCAUUCAUGGCGAGUGAUGUUAAAUGUGGCGCCAAAGUGCUGGAUUCAGAUCAUAAAAUCGGUAAGGAAGAAGUCACAUUUCAAAACGUUUUCAAUAUCUAGUUAUGAAUUUCUAUGUAUCAAAAGUUUGGGAAACUUUUUAACUAACAGGAAAAACAUAAAUGGGUAGCCUGUUAACUGGUUCAAUUUACAGUAAAAAAACUCCUCCAACCCAUCACACUUAUUUCAAAAACCUUCCAGCGUCCUUGAACACC